ACUACGUUCGUCUGUUAUUUUUUGUUCAAACUAUUCGGCUUAUUUGAAUUUUUUUCGAUUAAUAUUUUUAUUGUUACUAAAUGAUAAAAUAGAAAUAGUACUUUAUGCGUGACUAAUUUUUUAAGUAUUUAUAAAAAAUUUUCAAAUAAGAUGAAUGUUCAAAUCAUUGGGCACAGAAAUCGAAAUAUGACUUUAUU
rnacentral:pre_miRNA from 1 species